rnacentral:misc_RNA from 1 species
GCCUUCAGUUGUGUCUUCGAAUACUUAAAAACUCCAAACCUUAUGCCAGCUGUCUUCCAAUGUUUGACAGCAAUUGUCCACAGGGCAUUUGAAGCAGCAGUACAGUGGCUGGGGCUGGAAGAUCGAAUAAGCGAAACAGGCAAAGAAGCUGAGAUCAGAGAAUCAACUCUUUUUGCUCAUACCUGUUUUCUCAUUAAAAGCAUGUCACAGAGGGAGGAACACAUCCGGGAUAUUACUGUAAACUUGUUGACUCAGCUUAGAGAUAAGUUCCCUCAGGUUUUGUGGAAUUCUUCCUGCUUAGACUCCCUGCUAUUUUCAGUUCACAACGACUCAUCUCCUGGUGUUGUUAAUGAUCCUGCUUGGAUAGCGACAGUCCGUUCUUUGUACCAAAGAAUUCUGAGAGAAUGGAUCAGUAUAUCACUUUCAUAUGCCCCAUGUACUAGCCAGGGCCUACUUCAGGAAAAGCUAUGCAAAGCAAACACAUGGCA